GACGAGUUGUCACACUCUUUCAAAUAGCAACUUUAUUUGGUGAAGCUUUUAUACAAUCUGCAAACAGGUCAAAGGCAAUUAAUGGAUUCAGAAAGAGUGGUGCUUGGCCAACUGACAUGAAUGUAUUCACUGAGGUUGAUUUUUUGCCAACUGAUCCUACGGACAUUGCGCUUGGAGUAGAUGAAGAAUAUGAGAUUCAUAAUCAGGAUACGAACGAAGGAAAUUGUCCUGAAAUGUUAGCCACAACAUCUACAAUUCAAUCGAAAUUCUUCAGCCAUUGCCAAAAGUUACUCAAGGUAAAAGACGUAAAAGCCGCAAUAGAGGAAAAACUGCAAUUUUAACUUCAUCACCAUACAAGGCUUUGCUGGAAGCUGCUAAAAAAACAACACCUAAUGCAGAGAAGAAAAACAUGCAGAAGAAAACAUUAAAAACAAACAAAUAUGGACAGAAAAGACGAACAUAUAAAAAGGAUAAAUCUUGCGAUACAUCUUCGAAAGAAAAUGAUACUUGUCAGUGCCUUUAUUGUAAUGAAUUGUAUUCAACGUCAAACGAAGGAUGGAUAAGAUGUUCUUCCUGUUUAAAUUGGGCUCACAAUUCAUGUGCUGGAGUCGAUGACAAGGAGGAUAUUAUAUAUUUUUGCACCUACUGCUCUUAAAAUGUUUUUUAUUUGAUAAUACAUAAGUGCUAUGA